rnacentral:lncRNA from 1 species
UGAAGUUUAUAGUUAAAGUUUAGUAGUGUUUUGAAGGAAAUAUUGGGGUUUUAGGUAGUGAAAUUAUGAAAGAAGGAUUAUAAAUUGGUUUGAGGCAUUUGGGGUCUAUUAUGAGAUGUUUUGUGACUUGUCUAAGUAUUGAAAUAGAGGAAAUCUAAUGUAAGAGUGUUUGGUGGUUGAUAGGUAAAGUCUAGCUUGAUUUAAAACUA